GUAGGUGGCAAGCGUUGUCCGGAAUUAUUGGGCGUAAAGCGCGCGCAGGUGGUUCUUUAAGUCUGAUGUGAAAGACCCCCGGGCUCAACCGGGGAGGGUCAUUGGAAACUGGGGAACUUGAGUGCAGGAGAGGAAAGUGGAAUUCCACGUGUAGCGGUGAAAUGCGUAGAUAUGUGGAGGAACACCAGUGGCGAGGGCGACUUUCUGGCCUGUAACUGACACUGAGGCGCGAAAGCGUGGGGAGCAAACAGGAUUAGAUACCCUGGUAGUCCACGCCGUAAACGAUGAGUGCUAAGUGUUGGGGGGUUUCCGCCCCUCAGUGCUGCAGCUAACGCAUUAAGCACUCCGCCUGGGGAGUACGGUCGCAAAGACUG
rnacentral:rRNA from 1 species